CCCUUAGAUGUUCUGGGCGGCCCGCGUACUACAAUGGCGCUUUCAGCGAGUUCCUAUGUUGAAUUUUCCUGGGUAUUCUUGGAAGCGGCGUCUUGACUUGGGAUAGAUCCUUGUAAUUGUUGGUUUUGAACGAGGAAUUCCUUGUAAUCGCGGUUGAUCAGCUCGCGUUGAAUACGUCCCUGCCCUUUGUACACACCGCCCGUCGCUCCUACCGAUGAAUCGUCCGGUGAAGUUCACAGAGUGGCGGUUCGUGGAGUUGCUCGCGAAGUGAAAUGGACCUCACGAUUUAGAGGAAGGAGAAGUCGUAACA
rnacentral:rRNA from 1 species